rnacentral:rRNA from 1 species
AUUGAACGCUGGCGGCAUGCCUUACACAUGCAAGUCGAACGGUAACGGGCCUUCGGGUGCCGACGAGUGGCGAACGGGUGAGUAAUGUAUCGGAACGUACCUUUCAGUGGGGGAUAACGUAGCGAAAGUUACGCUAAUACCGCAUAUUCUGUGAGCAGGAAAGCAGGGGAUCGCAAGACCUUGCGCUGAUUGAGCGGCCGAUAUCAGAUUAGCUAGUUGGUGAGGUAAAGGCUCACCAAGGCGACGAUCUGUAGCGGGUCUGAGAGGAUGAUCCGCCACACUGGAACUGAGACACGGUCCAGACUCCUACGGGAGGCAGCAGUGGGGAAUUUUGGACAAUGGGGGCAACCCUGAUCCAGCCAUGCCGCGUGAGUGAAGAAGGCCUUCGGGUUGUAAAGCUCUUUCGGCCGGGAAGAAAUCGUAUGGGUUAAUACCCUGUGCGGAUGACGGUACCGGCAUAAGAAGCACCGGCUAACUACGUGCCAGCAGCCGCGGU